UUACCGGUGGCGGAUGGGCAUGCGGCGCAUUAGCUAGUCGGCGGGGUAACGGCCCACCGAGGCGACGAUGCGUAGGGGUUCUGAGAGGAAGGUCCCCCACACUGGUACUGAGACACGGACCAGACUCCUACGGGAGGCAGCAGUGAGGAAUAUUGGUCAAUGGGCGCGAGCCUGAACCAGCCAAGUCGCGUGAGGGAUGACGGUCCUACGGAUUGUAAACCUCUUUUGCCGGGGAGCAAGCGUGCGUUCGUGAACGCGCGUCGAGAGUACCCGGAGAAAAAGCAUCGGCUAACUCCGUGCCAGCAGCCGCGGUAAUACGGAGGAUGCGAGCGUUAUCCGGAUUUAUUGGGUUUAAAGGGUGCGUAGGCGGGAUGCCAAGUCAGCGGUAAAAAUGCGGUGCUCAACGCCGUCGAGCCGUUGAAACUGGCGUUCUUGAGUGGGCGAGAAGUAUGCGGAAUGCGUGGUGUAGCGGUGAAAUGCAUAGAUAUCACGCAGAACUCCGAUUGCGAAGGCAGCAUACCGGCGCCCUACUGACGCUGAGGCACGAAAGCGUGGGUAUCGAACAGGAUUAGAUACCCUGGUAGUCCACGCAGUAAACGAUGAAUGCUAACUGUCCGGCUCGAAUGAGCGCUGG
rnacentral:rRNA from 1 species